CCUACGGGGGGCUUCAGUGGGGAAUAUUGGACAAUGGGGGCAACCCUGAUCCAGCCAUGCCGCGUGUGUGAAGAAGGCCCUCGGGUUGUAAAGCACUUUCAGUGAGGAAGAACGCCUGGUGGUUAAUACCCAUCAGGAAAGACAUCACUCACAGAAGAAGCACCGGCUAACUCCGUGCCAGCAGCCGCGGUAAUACGGAGGGUGCGAGCGUUAAUCGGAAUUACUGGGCGUAAAGCGCGCGUAGGUGGCUUGAUAAGCCGGUUGUGAAAGCCCCGGGCUCAACCUGGGAACGGCAUCCGGAACUGUCAAGCUAGAGUGCAGGAGAGGAAGGUAGAAUUCCCGGUGUAGCGGUGAAAUGCGUAGAGAUCGGGAGGAAUACCAGUGGCGAAGGCGGCCUUCUGGACUGACACUGACACUGAGGUGCGAAAGCGUGGGUAGCAAACAGGAUUAGAUACCCCUGUAGUC
rnacentral:rRNA from 1 species